rnacentral:lncRNA from 1 species
AUCUGCUGUGAUCCGCUGAAAAUGUGCUGGGGUUUGUUCUGCUGUCACUGUUUAUGCUGCUGGAACUUAGCACUGUCUUGAUUUGAAGCAUAUGAUUGAGAGCCAUUUGAAGCAAUCUUCAUUAACGCAGAUAAAACAAGUUUACAUGUGCAGAGUUAGAAAAUGACAUGUUCAAUUCUGUAAGUGGUGACUUUUUGAGCACCUUUCAGUAUUAUGUAUUUGUAAAAACCAUUGUUUUUGGAUAUAAAGCUAAUAAGCACUUUAAAAAGGAAAAGGCAGCCUUUACUAUUUUUUCUGGUUGAGUCAUUGCUCUUCAGACCUAGC